UAAUCCCGCAGAGCUCCCGGUGCCCGACCAAUCAGCGCUCAAGAAGCGGGGGAGGCAGCCAAUGGGAGCGCUGCUUUAGGCCCCCUCCUUUCGCUGUGACGUUUCGCCCCGUGACGGCGAUCGCCAGGAAAGCACCGACGAGACGGGAAAUGAGCGAUUCGUUACCGACGGUUAGCGUGGAUGUUAGUCAUUAGUAACGUUUUAGAGCCCCUCUGCUGUGAGGACAGGCCGAGAGAGCUGGGGGGAUUCAGCCUGGAGAAGAGAAGGCUCCGGGGAGACCCUAGAGCCCCUUCCAGCCCCUGAAGGGGGCCUAUAAGAAAGCUGGGGAGGGGCUGUUUGCAAGGGCAUGUAACCAUAGGACGAGGAGCAGUGGUUUUAAACUAGAGCAGGGCAGGUUUAGAUGAGACGUUAGGAAGAAGUUCUUUACACUGAGGGUGGUGAGACACUGGCCCAGGUUGCCCAGAGAGGUGGUGGAGGCCCCAUCCCUGGAGACAUUCAAGGCCAGGCUUGAUGAGGCUCUGAGCAACCUGAUGUAGUUAAAGAUGUCCCUGCUCACUGCAGGGGGGUUGGACUAGAUGACCUCUAAAGGUCCCUUCCAACCUAACAGAUUCUAUGAUAACGUGGUCUGGCAGCUAGAAGCCAUAAAGUGAUAAAACGUGCCAAGAUUGCCACUAGGUCUAAGGAAAAAACGUUUUACGCUGGGGAUGGUGAGACCCUGGCCCAAGUUACCCAGAGAGAUGAGAGAUACCCCAACCCUGGAAACACUCCAGGCAGAGGCGGGCACGGUCCUGCCUUCAAAACCACUCGCGAGAGUAUGAGCAAGCCCAUCAUUGAUUGCCUGGAGGCAGAAAUUGGGCAGAAACGUGACAGAAUGGAAAGCGCUCGCAGUGCUGCUUCCUCUCCACCUUCGCCCCCGCUGAGGAUGCCGGCCCGGCUGGGAGUGUGCAGAGCCCCGGUGUGAGGGCAGGCUGUGGCAUCCAGCGUGCUAUCUGGUGCGCUUUGAUACCUCAAGGCCUAAAUCACAGGCAUCUGGUGUGUUUGAACACUUCAAAGGGAAGAGCUAAGUUGUGAGAUAAGCUGAAAAGAGUCUCCCCAAGGACACUGAUAAAGAUGAGGAGCCUUCAGCCUCACCACCAUCAGGAGGCGGGACAAGACUGACCCCCUAGCAACACGUCGCUCAGACACGGAAUAUACCAGGAUUGACACAUAUACGGGAACCAGAAGAGUAUAGAAUCAGCUACUUUCGGGAAGCGGGUGUGCGCCGUUGGCGGAGCAAAGACUCCCCGGCCGCCCAGCGCUGUUUUGCUUGCUGCCGCUUGCUUAAUAAACUAAUUUGAUUAAUUGGACUGGUUCCUGCCAAUUAUUGGGCCA